UAACUCAUUUUUUAGCCUUUC
rnacentral:piRNA from 1 species